GAGGUCGUGGCAGAGCGGUAAUGCAUCAGUCUGCAAAACUGACGAUCGCGGGUUCAAAUCCCGCCGACCUCUCCA
rnacentral:tRNA from 2 species